GAAAAAUUAGGAAAAAUUAUGAUUACUAUAGCUUUCAAUAUUUAUAGAACUUCGUAUAUUCCAGAUAUGUAAUAAGAAUUAAGUAUAUGAAUAUAAUUCAACAUACAAUCAGCAACACAGAAUGGGAGAAAAUUUUUGCACUCUAUCCAUCUGACAAAAGGCUAAUAUCCAGAAUCUACAAGGAACUUAAACAAAUGUACAAGAAAAAUAACAA
rnacentral:lncRNA from 1 species